rnacentral:rRNA from 1 species
AGCGAACGCUGGCGGCAGGCUUAACACAUGCAAGUCGAGCGCCCCGCAAGGGGAGCGGCAGACGGGAGAGUAACACGUGGGAACGUACCCUUUAGUUCGGAACAACCCAGGGAAACUUGGGCUAAUACCGGAUACGUCCGUAAGGAGAAAGAUUUAUCGCUAAAGGAUCGGCCCGCGUCUGAUUAGCUAGUUGGUGAGGUAACGGCUCACCAAGGCGACGAUCAGUAGCUGGUCUGAGAGGAUGAUCAGCCUCACUGGGACUGAGACACGGCCCAGACUCCUGCGGUAGGCAGCAGUGGGGAAUAUUGGACAGUGGGCGCAAGGCUGAUCCAGCGAUGCCGCGUGGGGGAUGAAGGCCAUAGGGUUGUAAAGCCCUUUCGGCGGGGAAGAUAAUGACGGUACCCGCAGAAGAAGCCCCGGCUAACUUCGUGCCAGCCGCCGCCGUAA